CAUUCUCUCCUGUGCUGUUCAAGCUGAGCCCAGGCCCUGUAAAGCACUUACUCUGAUUGAAAGGGAAUGGUUCUGAAGCAGAAAAUGUCAACAGCACUGGUGGGAAUUGUGCUUUUGUUCUCUAACAUCUGAGUGGCUUUAAGGAAAUGGAUUAACUUGGUGGUACCAGAUGAAAUAUGUCAUUUCCUUUCCUCAAAUGCACUGAAUGUUUAGGCAAGGCAGCCUUUUUCUGGAAUGAGCCACUGUCUGAGGACAGAAGGCUGGUGCUGACAUCACCUUGGUGCCAUGGAUUAAGUCUGAGAGGCUGGUUGGUUUAGGCAACCACCUUCUUAAAUUACACACAUGUCAAGAGCUGGGACCCAAGGGGGGACACUUGCCACUAUAAGCCACACUGACAAAAAACAGCAAAGGUGUUUUAGGUCAUGGUUCAGGGAGAGAGACAGAUGUCACCCAAGGGUGGGAACUACAGAUGCAGAGUAUGGAGACCCAUUCUGGGAUUCUCAGAUGGGACAGAGUCAAAAUCGCAGGACAAGAGGGUGACUGUACCUGAUGAGGAAUGGAUCUACUGUUGAAGACCUACUAAGGAUCAGUGGAUAGACUACAAGGAGAGAUUGUUUCCAAUUUGGCAUCAAAAGGUGAGGAAACAGACCAAACAGAUGAGAAGUCAGAGGACAGUGCUCAUCCCGAGGCCCAGUGCUUCCAAAUCCCAGCCGAGCAGCUUUCUUUGACCUGGAACCAUCAGUUGGAACCUUGCUUCCCAGCUGGCCAUUGUCCAGGAAAUGCCUUUAGAAAUGAGGCUGAGGACCAUCCACAGACCCUGCUGAAGUGUGACUAGUAAGGUCCCUCAGACUCUAGUUUUUGCCAAGGGUCAUCUUCGACAACAUCCCUGUCACCACUGUGCUUGAACCACUGUCAUCCUGCUGUGUGUGUUCCAGCCACUUGCUGGCCUCUUGCAAUCAUCACUUGUACCAUGUGGACAAGCUUGGCUCCAGGACAACUCAUUCUAGAGAGAGCCAAAUAGAUGGGCUGUGGCUGCCUCUCAGACCCAGGAAACUACUGCUCCUUGACAGCCAUGUUCUUAGGAUGCCCUGGUGGGUGCACUCCCAGCUGCCCAACUGCUGCUGACUGGAUUCCUGGCUUGCUGUUCACAAGGUUGCGGUCAAAUUUUCAAUAAAUCCCAAAGAACCACAGGCGCCUCAGGAUACCUCAGUCCAUGUGAUGAGAUCUAUGUUGCCCUUUGCCUCAUUGCCAAAGAAGCAAUGGGUACCCUCAGAGCAGAGCACACAGUUUCUGGCAUUCAUGGGAAUCUUCCAGCAUUUGAGGGAAUCUUCUAGCACUUUCAUACUUCUGAAAGCAUUGGGGAUAAUUACAUUCCUC